UAGUCCACGCCGUAAACGAUGGAUACUAGCUGUUUAGUUUUUGAUUUACAAAGAUUAAGUGGCCAAGCGAAAGUGAUAAGUAUCCCACCUGGGGAGUACGUUCGCAAGAAUGAAACUCAAAGGAAUUGACGGGGGCCCGCACAAGCGGUGGAGCAUGUGGUUUAAUUCGAUGAUACGCGAGGGACCUUACCAAGGCUUAAAUGCAAUACGCAUAGGUUGGAAACAGCCUAGUCCACUGGACGGAUUGCAAGGUGCUGCAUGGUUGUCGUCAGCCCGUGCCGUGAGGUGUCAGGUUAAGUCCUAUAACGAGCGCAACCCCUGUUGUUAGUUGCCAACAUGUAAAGAUGGGAACUCUAACAAGACUGCCAGUGCAAACUGUGAGGAAGGUGGGGAUGACGUCAAAUCAUCACGGCCCUUACGUCCUGGGCUACACAUGUGCUACAAUGGUAGGGACAGAGAGCAGCCACUGGGCGACCAGGAGCGAAUCUAUAAACCCUAUCACAGUUCGGA
rnacentral:rRNA from 1 species